UCCUUACUCACUAUCUCUAACAAAAUUGGAGACCCAUCUCUCCGACUUUUCCUCAAAACCCUAGCCCACUCCUCCUUCCUCUUCCGCUCUCUUUUCACGACCACCACCACCUCCUUCUCCUCCGCUCACUCCCGCUACUAUCUCUCCAGCGGCAUCGCCUCAGCUGGCAAGCUCGCUCUCUCUCUCUCUCUCUCUCUCUCUCUCUAAAACCCUCUCCGUCUCUCUCUGGGAUUGACGAAGAUGAAGUCUAUGCCACACAACAAUUUCUCAUGGACACAAUGGAGCCUCCCCAGUCGCCAAACCUAGCCCCGGCAAGCCUCCAAGGAGAAAAGCGCCUGCACCUUCAGAUCUAACUAUACGGCCUUGGAUUCGAAGCCUUCGCCGGCAGCUAAGUUGAAGAGUCUGUUGCCGCCACAGCCGCCGCCG
rnacentral:lncRNA from 1 species